UGUUAAAAUCUUGCUUUUUCCUCCU
rnacentral:piRNA from 1 species